rnacentral:tRNA from 1 species
GACCACAUAGUAUAAAGGAUAGUGCAACGGUCUUCUAAACUGUUAGUGAGGGUUCGAUUCCCGCUGUGGUCG